UUAUAGUUGAGCAGGCACUUUGUUGACUCAAGAGAACCUCGGGUCAAUCGCACGUCCCCGUGACAGUGACUUUGCAUUCGGAUGUCUGCCCUAUCAACUUUUGAUGCCAGUUUCUGCGCCUACCAUGGUGACCGCAGGUAACGGGGAAUCCGGGUUGGAUUACGGAGAGGGAAUCUGAGAAACGGCUACCACAUGCAAGGAAGGCAGCAGGUGCGCAAAUUACCCACUCCCGACGCGGGGAGGUAGUGAUGA